rnacentral:rRNA from 1 species
UCUUUUCCUUUUUUUCCCUCCUCCUCUUUCAUACUUAUUUUUCAAUCUUUAUCCUUAUUUACUGGGUGUAAAGGGAGCGCAGGCGGUGCGGCAAGUCUGAUGUGAAAGCCCGGGGCUCAACCCCGGUACUGCAUUGGAAACUGUCGUACUAGAGUGUCGGAGGGGUAAGUGGAAUUCCUAGUGUAGCGGUGAAAUGCGUAGAUAUUAGGAGGAACACCAGUGGCGAAGGCGGCUUACUGGACGAUAACUGACGCUGAGGCUCGAAAGCGUGGGGAGCAAACAGG